GACAACGCUCUGCUCGUGUUUCCUCCAGCAGCUGCUUCUCCCAGCAGACAGAACGAGGGGCAGCCCAGGCCCAGGGUGCCCACCUGGGCUGGCAAACACCAGGCAGGGAAGUGGCAGCUCGCUGUAUUUUGGGUGCUUCUACUCCAUCAGAUGCAUUUAGAGUCAACUGGAAAUCAGGCAGAAAGUAAAGUAAUGGAAUAUCUGGAGUUGAAAGGGACCCAUAAGGAUCAUUGAGCCCAACUCCAUGUUCCUUGCAGGACCACCUGUCCUGUCAGAAAGAGAAAUCUGUUUUAUCAAUGCUUUCCACUCUGUCAGUUGGGCUGGAUUUAUCCAACACCUCGUUCCCUGGUGUUGGUGUCCCCUCCUGUGAUCCCCAUCAGGAUACAGCUCUGAAUAGGUGAUGGCACUUCCUUAGGGAUGGCACAACAUUCCAGUGUCUGUUUUUCCAUCCUUUGCUGCUGGUGCUGGUGAGGAAAAAAGACUUGCUAUGAGAACUGCCAGACAACAAUGUCCCAUUGCUGGGAUUCCCCUCGCCCUGGGGCCAGGCACAGCAGGAGGGGGAGCCCAUGGGGGCUGUGUGGGAUCCCCUCCAGCUCUGGGCAGCACAGAUCCCUUCCAUGAUCUCCUCAGCCCUGCUCUCCUGUUACACACAAACAGAGCAAGCCUGGGACAGCCCAGAGAAUCCCCCAGGCCGUGUCCUUCAGCCCCUCUGAAGCUGCUGGGACCUCUGGACCCUUUUCCAUCAGGAGCAGCUCUCGCAAAGAGUCCAAGCACACUUUACAUGGUGCAAAGACCACAGCUGAUCCUCAGCUAGGCAUAAAAGAAAAGAAUGACCAGAGAAGAUGAUGAACAGCCCGUAGCAUUUUAAAUUGGCUCCCAGGCAGAUACAAGAACCAUCCAGGACCUGGCUCCUUUGGAACAUUCCCUUUCAGCAGGAUGAGGGAGGAGCUGCCUUACCUGGGUGGUGCUGCACAGGAUUUACCCCACAGCAGCACCCAAGGGAACCUUUGCUUCAGUGUCUUUGAAUCACCCAUAUGAAGACAUUAGACAAGAUAAGGAUUUCUGUUCCUUGGAGCUGUCACCAAGAGAAAUGUAAUGGCUCUGGAAAUAAGGAACAAGUGACUUGCUCCAUUUCUUGCAGGAGAUUAAAUAUACGCUAUCCAAAAAUAGCUGAUGUACAUACUUUUCUCUGGAAAAUGGAGACAAUUCCAAAAUCAAAGGUGUCAGCCAGGGAUAGAAUUGAUGCUGCAGAGGCAGCACAGGCAGUCAAUGGACCUGGGAGCAAUUUUCAUAGCAACCCCCUGGCAAAACAUCUCCCGCUUUGGAUAUGAUCACAAACCCAAACUCCGCUCAG
rnacentral:lncRNA from 1 species